UACGUAGGGCGCAAGCGUUGUCCGGAAUUAUUGGGCGUUAAGAGCUCGUAGGCGGUUUGUUGCGUCGGCUGUGAAAUCCCGAGGCUCAACCUCGGGUCUGCAGUCGAUACGAGCAAACUAGAGUGUUGCAGGGGAGACUGGAAUUCCUGGUGUAGCGGUGGAAUGCGCAGAUAUCAGGAGGAACACCGGUGGCGAAGGCGGGUCUCUGGGCCGAUACUGACACUGAGAAGCGAAAGCGUGGGGAGCGAACAGG
rnacentral:rRNA from 1 species